AUGAAUCCAAGUAAAGAAUUUGGGGGUGUGAAAAUGUCCCCUUCCUUGUCCUUUCAGUUACUGGCAGUGCAAUUGCAUGGAGGACUCGUCAGGGGACUUAGAAGGGAAAGAAUCAGGAUUGGCAUAAACUGGUCUCAGCUGAAGGAAAGCUAUGGAACCAUGGGUGCAGAUGAAGGAGACCUGGUGGCUGUAUUUGGGACCAUACAAGGAAACUGAAGCUCAUAGGCUGAGUGAACAGAUUGUUUUGGGGUAGGUAAUACAUGAUUUUUCCUUCUGAAAGAUUAGUGUGAGAGCCAGGAUUCCCUUGGAAUAAAAGAUGAGUUAGCUAUUAUCAAAGCUUAGUACAUUCCCCCAACUGUCUACCACUUCUCUUACCCUUCAUCUCCAUCCAUUCCUUCCACAAAUUCCUAUUUUUUGAUAGAUACUGUGCUGAGAUAUGAUGAUACAAGCAGUCUUUGCCUCCAGGGCGCUUCCAGUUUUGUAGAGGACCCAGUGCACAAACAAUACAGGGAGGCAAGUGCUAUGGUGUAAGUGUGGACAAAUCCAGGAGGAUUCAGAAGGUGUUUUGACUCAAAGGAGGAAAUGCUUAUUUCUGUUUUUCUCCUUCUCUAAAGGAGAGCAAGGAAGGGUUUCAGAGAGGAAGAAACUCUUAGAGUGGAGCCUGAAGGAUAAAGGCUAUGCUUUUCCCAUUCUCUUGUGAGAUCAGAAGGUAAUAAAAUUCUGCCCUCAUAACCCAUUUGGCAAACAGUUAUUCAAGUUUCUCCUCAUUUUCUCCUUGCCUCUUGGUUAUUUCAUUGCUCUUUAGUGCUGCCAUUUAAGGGAUAAGUAGAAGUGAGAUUUAUUUAUGUUGCUUUUGCUCAGAAGUGAGGGAAAACAAACUGAUGGAGGAAAGAUUUAAAAAAUAUAACAUAAAAUUUUUAUUAAGCCAGAAUUGCUUUGCUUAAUUGAUUUUUAUUAAUCAAAAAUUAUUUCCUAAUUUUUAUACUGGUGAAAUAUUACAGCUUUGCAAAUAUUAAUAAAUCAAAAGUGAAAACCCC
rnacentral:lncRNA from 1 species